UAGGGAAUCUUCCACAAUGGACGCAAGUCUGAUGGAGCAACGCCGCGUGAGUGAAGAAGGUUUUCGGAUCGUAAAGCUCUGUUGUUGGUGAAGAAGGAUAGAGGUAGUAACUAGCCUUUAUUUGACGGUAAUCAACCAGAAAGUCACGGCUAACUACGUGCCAGCAGCCGCGGUAAUACGUAGGUGGCAAGCGUUGUCCGGAUUUAUUGGGCGUAAAGCGAGCGCAGGCGGAAGAAUAAGUCUGAUGUGAAAGCCCUCGGCUUAACCGAGGAACUGCAUCGGAAACUGUUUUUCUUGAGUGCAGAAGAGGAGAGUGGAAUUCCAUGUGUAGCGGUGGAAUGCGUAGAUAUAUGGAAGAACACCAGUGGCGAAGGCGACUCUCUGGUCUGCAACUGACGCUGAGGCUCGAAAGCAUGGGUAGCGAACAGG
rnacentral:rRNA from 1 species